UGAAUACAGGAAGCAGAUUGCCUGUAGCUGCUACAAAAUCCGGGCGAUGCAAAAGAUUACUGCAUAGUGUGCGCCCUGCUGGAGUGCGAUCCACAGCACAGCAUGAUAGGAAUGGUAAACAGUUUUAUAAAAGAAUUAUAAUUGUUUUAUGUGAAAUGACUUUAUGAAUGUUACAUUUUUUAAAUUUUAUUGUUUCUGUUAUGUUGUCUCACUAGGUGCAGUGUGGGACAUGUCAUCGAUGGGCCCAUUUGGAAUGCGCCAAAUGGCCAAUAAGAUAACAACAAUCGCCUUGACAGAUGAGGAGGUGGCGUCUGUCAAGGCCACAUUUAAAUGUGUUAUCUGCAGAGAUCCAAUGAAGGAGCCUGUAGUGGGCGCAUGCUGCCGCAGCCUCAUUGGUUGCAGAACAUGUGUGGAUGAGUGGGUGACUCAUGAGCCCAGUUGCCCCAAAUGCAGAGAUGGGGAAUUUCGGGUGAAAAACUUCAUCCUGACCGGCAUUGAAGACACUCUGAAUAUUUUCAAAGACACUAU